UUUUUAUUUUAUUGUUUCCUCACACACAUUAGCACAAUUAAAAAUUGAUUCCUAAGAUUGGAACUUCCUUCCCAAGAAUUUCAUGUUGAUCCCCACGUCACACACAUGGAAAUCUUAUCCUAUUUUUCUACUUGACCUCCAAGAAUUGGGAGAACAAUAUAAGCAUAUACACAUAAAACAAAGGAGUGGAGGGGGGAGGGGGCAAUUUCUUUGCACAAAAAAUACUUGCUGAAAAUAAAAUAAAAACGCAGAGGAAUAAGGAGAAGGAAAAGAGAGAUCUAAAAAAUUAAAUCCCUUCUCCCUUAUUUGAGCACCAAGAACAGUCACCAAACAAUUAAUCUAGAACUCCAUAGAAGGCCAGCCUAAAACCCAAUUAAAAACAAUCAAAAACCAGCAGCUAUUUUUCAUGAAAACUAGCUGAAACCUGAAAGUUCACCCAAAAACACACCACCUCAAAACCACCCCCUUAAUCAUCCCUCUCAAGCCAUGAACACUCCAAAAUAGCCAUGAAGCAUAGCUGAAAAGCACUUAAAAUAUAUGCUCAAAUGCAGAAUAAAGAAAAAAUCAGUUCUAGUCAAGCCUCCAAUCGCCGGCGAACUUCGCCGGAAGCCGGCGAAAAUUAACCCCAGCCAUUUCCACCUUUCUCGAACUCCGUUAAAGCCAGAAGCAAAAUCAGCUGCAAAUGACUGUUUCAACACCUGAAAUCAGUCCAAAAAUCAAUCAGAGACGAGGUAUUGUUGUACGAGUGGGAGGAUCUAUCGAGGUCGAGUCUCCGGCUAGUCAAGUUGUAGUCUGGUUGUUUGGAGGUUAAAGUCCAUGUUAAGCCAUUUACCUUCUCUGCUUCGUAAACUCUACUGGUAUUUUAAUUUUCCAUUCGUCCUUUAAUUUAAUGCUUGCCUAUUUGUGAGGUUCUUAUGAAAAGGGACCGUCAAUAGUUUAUUUAAUUUAAUGAUAUCAAAUGGUGUCAGUAGCUAUUUUGGCAUGGAUUAAAAUUUUGUAUCUGCUAGUGAAUUUACUUCUACUUUUAAACUUAACAUUCUUUAUUUGGAAAAAUAAGGACGUACAUAAUUUGUUUGCUGAACUAUGUCGUACUUGUUUUUUUAUGUGUUAAUUAUUUCUUGCUUGUGGACAUUUGUUCUGUAUCUUUUAUCUAAAAUGAAGAGAAAAAGAGGAAGUAAAUAAACUUGGCAUCUACUCAUUUUAUUUAGGAAGAUACAAGAUACUCUUUUUAUUUCCUUCGUUAAUGUUAGUAAUUACAAGUUCUCAUGCUUUUUAGAUCGUAAAAGUGCGUCGUAUCAUAUAUGGUAGAGACACAUUCAUAUUAUUAUUUAGGUCGUUAGUGUGCUUUUGCCAUGUAUUAAUAAAUUUGUUAUCGUGAUUAUGAGCACGUUCGCGUGACAUGAUUACGAGUUCUAAAAAAUAAAAUUGGAGUAUGCGUUCCCGCAAUUUUGGACAAACUUUUCUAAUAAUAAUGAAGCAUUAUU
rnacentral:lncRNA from 1 species